GUUUAAUGAUUCAGCUCCCAAACUGCUGGAAAUGUGGGACGGGUUCUAACUCUUCACCAAGACUGCUUUAUCCUGGAGAAGAGGUUUGAGGUGAGACUCCCGUCAUACGCCAGUCCUGGUUACAGUGUGGAUCCUUCAGUAGAUCAGAGAGCAGCUUCACUCCUGAUUCUCCUGGUUUAUUACCCUUCAGAUCCAGUUCUCUCAGGUGUGAUGAGGAGUUUGACCUCAGAGCAGAAGCCAGAGCAGCACAACCUUCAUCUGUAAUCCUGCAGUUCCACAUCCUGCAAGAAAGAAAACCUUCUCACACUUAACACACUCAGUUUUAGCUCUGAAAACAUCAACUACACAAAAUCUUUAUAUACACAACAUUUACUCUCAUCUCACACACACAACAAUGACAAUAUCACAUCACUACAAUUACAAUCACCACAGAGGGAAACUGUGUGUGUGUGUGUGUGUGUGUGUGUGUACCUCAGUAUCUCCAGUGUACAGUGUGUGUGUGUGUGUGUGUGUGUGUGUGUGUGUGUACCUCAGUAUCUCCAGUGUACAGUGUGUGUGUGUGUGUGUGUGUGUGUGUGUACCUCAGUAUCUCCAGUGUACAGUGUGUGUGUGUGUGUGUGUGUGUGUGUGUGCCUCAGUAUCUCCAGUGUACAGUGUGUGUGUGUGUGUGUGUGUGUGUGUGUACCUCAGUAUCUCCAGUGUACAGUGUGUGUGUGUGUGUGUGUGUGUGUACCUCAGUAUCUCCAGUGUACAGUGUGUGUGUGUGUGUGUGUGUGUGUACCUCAGUAUCUCCAGUGUACAGUGUGUGUGUGUGUGUGUGUGUGUGUACCUCAGUAUCUCCAGUGUACAGUGUGUGUGUGUGUGUGUGUACCUCAGUAUCUCCAGUGUACAGUGUGAGUGUGAGUGUGUGUGUGUGUGUGUGUGUGUACCUCAGUAUCUCCAGUGUACAGUGUGUGUGUGUGUGUGUGUGUGUGUGUGUGUGUGAGAGUGUGUGUGUGCGUGUGUGUGUACCACAGUAUCUCCAGUGUACAGUGUGUGUGUGUGUGUGUGUGUGUGUGUGUGUGUACCUCAGUAUCUCCAGUGUACAGUGUGUGUGUGUGUGUGUGUGUGUGUGUGUGUGAGAGUGUGUGUGUGCGUGUGUGUGUACCACAGUAUCUCCAGUGUACAGUGUGUGUGCGUGUGUGUGCGUGUGUGUGUGUGUGUGUGUGUGUGUGUGUACCUCAGUAUCUCCAGUGUACAGUGUGUGUGUGUGUGUGUGUGUGAGUGUGUGUGUGUGUGUGUACCUCAGUAUCUCCAGUGUACAGUGUGUGUGUGUGUGUGUGUGUGUGUGUGUGUGUGUACCUCAGUAUCUCCAGUGUACAGUGUGUGUGUGUGUGUGUGUGUGUACCUCAGUAUCUCCAGUGUACAGUGUGUGUGUGUGUGUGUGUGUGUGUGUGUGUGUGUGUGUACCUCAGUAUCUCCAGUGUACAGUGUGUGUGUGUGUGUGUGUGUGUGUGUGUACCACAGUAUCUCCAGUGUACAGUGUGUGUGUGUGUGUGUGUACCUCAGUAUCUCCAGUGUACAGUGUGUGUGUGUGUGUGUGUGUGUGUGUGUGUGUGUGUGUGUGUACCUCAGUAUCUCCAGUGUACAGUGUGUGUGUGUGUGUGUGAGUGUGUGUGUGUGUGUGUGUGUGUACCUCAGUAUCUCCAGUGUACAGUGUGUGUGUGUGUGUGUGUGUGUGUGUGUGUGUGUACCUCAGUAUCUCCAGUGUACAGUGUGUGUGUGUGUGUGUGUGUGUACCUCAGUAUCUCCAGUGUACAGUGUGUGUGUGUGUGUGUGUGUGUGUACCUCAGUAUCUCCAGUGUACAGUGUGUGUGAGUGUGUGUGUGUGUGUGUGUGUGUGUGUGUACCUCAGUAUCUCCAGUGUACAGUGUGUGUGUGUGUGUGUGUGUGUGUGUGUGUGUGUGUGUGUGUGUGUACCUCAGUAUCUCCAGUGUACAGUGUGUGUGUGUGUGUGUGUGUGUGUGUACCUCAGUAUCUCCAGUGUACAGUGUGUGUGUGUGUGUGUGUGUGUGUGUGUGUGUGUGUGUGUGUGUGUACCUCAGUGUCUCCAGUGUACAGUGUGUGUGUGAGUGUGUGUGUGUGUGUGUGUGUGUGUGUGUGUACCUCAGUAUCUCCAGUGUACAGUGUGUGUGUGUGUGUGUGUGUGUGUGUGUGUGUGUGUGUGUGUGUGUGUGUACCUCAGUUUCUCCAGUGUACAGUGUGGAUUCUCCAGUCCAGCAGAGAGCAGCUUCACUCCUGAAUCCUGCAGGUUAUUGUCACUCAGGUUCAGUUCUCUCAGUCUGGAGGAGUUUGAUCUGAGAACUGAGGACAGAACUCUACAGCUUUCCUCUGUCAGAUCACACACACACAGCCUGGAAGAGAAAUGAUGAAAUAUCAGAACACUGACCUCAAACACACACACAGCCAUAAUACACUUACUCUUUACCAUGUAACAGAAAUGUGAGUGUGUUUCUCUCAC